rnacentral:rRNA from 1 species
CCUACGGGAGGCUGCAGUGGGGAAUAUUGGACAAUGGGCGAAAGCCUGAUCCAGCCAUGCCGCGUGUGUGAAGAAGGCCUUCGGGUUGUAAAGCACUUUCAGUGGGGAAGAAAGCCUUGGGGCUAAUACCCUCGAGGAAGGACAUCACCCACAGAAGAAGCACCGGCUAACUCCGUGCCAGCAGCCGCGGUAAUACGGAGGGUGCGAGCGUUAAUCGGAAUUACUGGGCGUAAAGCGCGCGUAGGCGGUCUGAUAAGCCGGUUGUGAAAGCCCCGGGCUCAACCUGGGAACGGCAUCCGGAACUGGCAGGCUAGAGGGCAGGAGAGGAAGGUAGAAUUCCCGGUGGAGCGGUGAAAUGCGUAGAGAUCGGGAGGAAUACCAGUGGCGAAGGCGGCCUUCUGGACUGACACUGACGCUGAGGUGCGAAAGCGUGGGGAGCAAACAGGAUUAGAUACCCGUGUAGUC